rnacentral:misc_RNA from 1 species
GCAAACUUGGUCAUUUAGAGGAAGUAAAAGUCGUAACAAGGUUUCCGUAGGUGAGUAAUAUUAGUGUCUCUGCCUUGAAGUAUGUAUAAGGUACUAACUUUGUUUUAGGUGAACCUGCGGAAGGAUCAUUCAUAAUAGAGUGUUUUAUGGCACUCUAAAAAAAAUCCAUAUCCACCUUGUGUGCAAUGUUAUUCUCCUCAAGUUAGGAAUUAUUUUCUUAAUCUUUGGGGGGUUUUUUCAUAUCAACUCUUUUUAAACAAAAUUGUCUGAAAAAAGUUAUGAAUUUACUUAAUUCAAAACACAACUUUCAACAACGGAUCUCUUGGCUCUCGCAUCGAUGAAGAACGCAGC